rnacentral:lncRNA from 1 species
GUGAGUAUAAGGGUGGGUGGUCUAAAAUUUGAGAUCCUAGGGGAAAAAUUAGUGUUUCUAUUUGAUAUUUUUGUUUUUUCUUUUCUAAUUCUUUUUCUUUUAAUUUAUCUUCUUUUUUUCGACAGGAAGUUCUCUUUGAUUUAUUCUUUCCAUUUCUUUUUUCUUUUUUCAGUAAUUUCUUUUCUAAAUUUUGUUAAUAAUAAGUUGUAGUGGUUUAACUUUUGUGUGAGUAUGACACCAUCUUCCACUGUUCAUUGACCAUGUCAGAUAUAGAGAUGUCUUUUAUCUUUGUGGAUAUUGAAUUCUUAUUUUGACACUGAUAUAGGUUAUGUUCCAAGCAUACACAUAUUGUGCACAGUGGAUUAGUGUCUUCAUUGUGGAUAUCCUGUAGAUAUUUCCCGAUCAUGACAGUCCUCUGUAGAGAUUAUCCUAGGGGUGACAGAAUACACAAGCAUGUAUAAUGUCCCCUUGUCGUGUUUGUAGUGCAGCUGUCAAUCUUUGAAGUGUCCCAAAUCAUUUGGCCAAAUUUUUUUAGUAUUUCAAGGUCAUAGUACUCAGUAGGUAAUUCCUGAAGGCGUACCCAUAUUGUGGAGAAAUUAAUAUGGUUUGUGUUGGGAUUGAAUUUUGGUGUCCAUUUUCUGCCACUAAGGUACUGUGUGCCAAUAAACUAAAGUCUGUUAUUAGUGCUCUUUGAUAGUGGUCAUGGAAUGAAAACCGGAUCAUGUAGUAGUCAUUACCUAAAUUGAUGAGGUUUAUGGAUUUGUUGAAUUCGAGAUUCUUGAAUUUUUGUGCAUAAUAAGUUGUGGCCCAUAUGUUUUUCCAAAAUUUUGAUGAUUAAUUGUUUUUCAGGGCUCGUAUAGUCUGGUUUUGUCUGAUAUUGUAAUGGCUAUAAAGUUAGGGUGGUUUGAUGGGUUAUCUUUUUCCUCUUCUAAACUAAGGUUGCUAAAAAUUAUGCAAUCAAAAUCCAUGGAAGAAAAAGUUUGUUUUUGAGUUACUGUAUCUCUAUAACUAACAUGUGUCUCCAUAAAUGUGUCACAAUUUUUGGUCUAUGCAUACUGCGUGAAAGCAUGUCUUUUUCUUCAUUGGUUAGCGUGCCUUCUUCCAUUCGUUGGAUUUGUGGUUUGGCGGAAGGUGACUUUUGCAGUGGUCUUUUAAUGAGUUGUUUGAAUGGUUGAUCGAUUGAUUUCUGUUUCUCUCUCUAUUUCUAGACAGAAUUCAGAGC